rnacentral:rRNA from 2 species
ACGGGAGGCAGCAGUCGGGAAUAUUGCGCAAUGGAGGAAACUCUGACGCAGUGACGCCGCGUAUAGGAAGAAGGUUUUCGGAUUGUAAACUAUUGUCGUUAGGGAAGAUACAAGACAGUACCUAAGGAGGAAGCCCCGGCUAACUAUGUGCCAGCAGCCGCGGUAAUACAUAGGGGGCAAGCGUUAUCCGGAAUUAUUGGGUGUAAAGGGUGCGUAGACGGAGAUACAAGUUAGUUGUGAAAUCCCUCGGCUCAACUGAGGAACUGCAACUAAAACUAUAUCCCUUGAGUGUCGGAGGGGAAAGUGGAAUUCCUAGUGUAGCGGUGAAAUGCGUAGAUAUUAGGAGGAACACCGGUGGCGAAGGCGACUUUCUGGACGAUAACUGACGUUGAUGCACGAAAGUGUGGGGAGCAAACAGGAUUAGAUACCCUGGUA